UACGGAAGGUGCGAGCGUUAUCCGGUUUUAUUGGGUUUAAAGGGGGCGUAGGCGGCUUAUUAAGUCAGUUGUGAAAUCCCAGUGCUUAACGCUGGAACUGCGAUUGAAACUGAUAGGCUUGAGUCAAGAAGGGGUAAGUAGAAUUUAUGGUGUAGUAGUGAAAUGCUUAGAUAUCAUAAGGAAUACCAAUAGCGAAGGCAGCUUACUGGUCUUGAACUGACGCUGAGGCACGAAAGCGUGGGGAGCAAACAGG
rnacentral:rRNA from 1 species